CCAGAUCUUACAUAAACCCUCAACAUCACUUUUCCACCACAAAGCCACUAAAAAGUUAGGGUUUAUCAUUCAUCAAUUGAAUUGUUGUCAUUUUUGUUGCUUCAUAAUGGUGAAAUCUCUCAAAAUCGAAUGAGAGAAUCUCAAGUUUCCGGAGCAUAGAUUAAGCAUUCUAUCACCAGUAUUAAACAGCUCGGUGCGUAUACAAUCGCAUCGAUGUUACCUGUCUCCUGGUGUUGUGUAUGAGCCGAUGCCAUAUUAAUUUAAUCUUCGUUUUCUGAAUUUCUUGAUGUAGUUCUUAUUCAUGAGCUUAAAUCAUUUCAGAUC